rnacentral:rRNA from 1 species
CCUCAUACACAUGGAUAACAUACCGAAAGGUAAUGCUAAUACAAGAUGAUAUAAGAGAUUCGCAUGGAUUUCUUAUCAAAGCUCCGGCGGUAUGAGAUGGACCCGCGUCUGAUUAGCUAGUUGGUAAGGUAAUGGCUUACCAAGGCUUCGAUCAGUAGCCGACCUGAGAGGGUGAUCGGCCACAUUGGAACUGAGACACGGUCCAAACUCCUACGGGAGGCAGCAUG